rnacentral:rRNA from 1 species
GGGGGGGGCAAGCGUUUGUUUCGGAAUUACUGGGCGUAAAGGGCGCGUAGGCGGCCCAGAAAGUCUCUUGUGAAAUCCCACGGCUCAACUGUGGAACUGCAGGGGAAACUACUGGGCUUGAGUCCGGGAGAGGGUAGUGGAAUUCCCAGUGUAGCGGUGAAAUGCGUAGAUAUUGGGAGGAACACCGGUGGCGAAGGCGGCUACCUGGACCGGUACUGACGCUGAGGCGCGAAAGCUAGGGGAGCAAACGGGAUUAGAUACCCCGGUAGUCCUAGCUGUAAACGUUGAGCACUUGGUGUAGCGGGUAUCGACCCCUGCUGUGCCCGUAGCUAACGCAUUAAGUGCUCCGCCUGGGGAGUACGGUCGCAAGGCUG